rnacentral:rRNA from 1 species
UGGGGAAUAUUGCACAAUGGGGGAAACCCUGAUGCAGCGACGCCGCGUGAGCGAAGAAGGUUUUCGAAUCGUAAAGCUCUGUCCUAUGAGAAGAUAAUGACGGUAUCAUAGGAGGAAGCCCCGGCUAAAUACGUGCCAGCAGCCGCGGUAAUACGUAUGGGGCGAGCGUUGUCCGGAAUUAUUGGGCGUAAAGGGUUCGCAGGCGGCAAUGCAAGUCAGAUGUAAAAGGCAAAGGCUCAACCUUUGUAAGCAUCUGAAACUGUAUAGCUUGAGAAGUGUAGAGGCAAGUGGAAUUUUUAGUGUAGCGGUGAAAUGCGUAGAUAUUAAAAAGAAUACCGGUGGCGAAGGCGACUUGCUGGGCACAAUCUGACGCUGAGGAACGAAAGCGUGGGGAGCAAACAGG